rnacentral:rRNA from 1 species
UCGUCGGGGUCUCAUCCGGAGGGUCUCUGGCUUCGUGCCGGGGUUUCACCUUCCGCGAUGGCCCGCCGUUGCGUUUGGGUGGGUGUCCUUAAUUGGGUGCCCGCCGUCGAACGUGACCAUUUUACCUUGAACAAAUCGGAGUGCUCAACGCAGGCUCCACCACGCUCGUACGGUAGCGCAUGGAAUAAUGGAAGAGGACCAGCUUCCGCUUCUAUUGGUCUCACGGAGGCAGGUAAUGAUCAAGAGGAACGGAUGGGGGCAGAGGUAUGGCUCGGCGAGAGGUGAAAUUCUUGGACCCUUGCCAGACCCUCGAGAGCGAAAGCAUCUGCCAAAGAUGUUUCCAUUGAUCAAGAACGAAAGUCGCGGGAUCGAACGGGAUUAGAUACCCCGGUAGUCGCGACCGUAAACGAUGCCAACCGGGAAUUCGACGGCGUUACUUCCAUGACCCGUCGAGCGCCCGACCCGGGAAACCGAGAGUCUUUGGGUUCCGGGGGGAGUAUGGUUGCAAAGCUGAAACUUAAAGGAAUUGACGGAAGGGCACCACCAGGAGUGGAGCCUGCGGCUUAAUUUGACUCAACACGGGGAACCUCACCCGGCCCGGACACCGCGAGGAUUGACAGACUGAGAGCUCUUUCUCGAUUCGGUGGGUGGUGGUGCAUGGCCGUUCUUAGUUGGUGGAGCGAUCUGUCUGGUUAAUUCCGAUAACGAACGAGACCUCGUCCUACUAAAUAGCCCUCGGGUCCGACUUCUGCCGGGCCCGACGGAGCGUUUGCUUCUUAGAGGGACUCGCGGGGUUUACCCGCAUGAAAAGAGGCGAUAACAGGUCUGUGAUGCCCUUAGAUGUUCGGGGCUGCACGCGCGCUACACUGAAAGGCAUCAGCGUGUGCUUUGUCCGUUCCCUGCCUGAAAAGGCGGGGUAACCCGCUGAACCGCCUUCGUGCCUGGGAUAGGGAUUUGCAAUUAUCUCCCUUGAACGAGGAAUUCCCAGUAGGCGCGAGUCAUCAGCUCGCGUCGAUUACGUCCCUGCCCUUUGUACACACCGCCCGUCGCUACUACCGAUCGAACGAUUUUGCGAGGUA